rnacentral:lncRNA from 1 species
GUUUACAAGUAACACUGAAUGACUUCCUGAUUGACUGAUUGAUUGAUUCUGUUGUUAUAGAAACUACCAGACUCCAGUGUAAUGGUAUUUCUUCCUGACUUUAUGUGUGACAAGGUUCUGUCUCCCUGGGCUGGCUUCAUCUGGAUCAGGAAGAGUAACCGCAUGCACAGCAUCAAGAGGAAGAUGUUUCCUGUUCUCCCUGCUCAUUGGAGUUAGUCUUCUCUGUCCUGUUGGCCUUGUGACUCUGGUGAAUCAAGUGUGAGGUAAGUGACAUUCUCUUUCAGAGCUAAUGUGUAGUGCGCUAGAUUACCCUCCCU